rnacentral:rRNA from 1 species
GACGGAAGGUGCAAGCGUUGCUCGGAAUCACUGGGCGUAAAGGGUGCGUAGGCGGCUUGGUGGGUCUGGUGUGAAAGCCCCGGGCUCAACCUGGGAACUGCAUCCGAAACUGCCUUGCUAGAGUAUGGGAGAGGGAAGUGGAAUUUCCGGUGUAGCGGUGAAAUGCGUAGAUAUCGGAAGGAACAUCAGUGGCGAAGGCGACUUCUUGGACCAAUACUGACGCUCAGGUGCGAAAGCGUGGGGAGCAAACAGG